GCGCGCCCCGGGCGGGGCGGGGGCACGGGGGGAACGCGAAGAACCUUACCUGGUCUUGACAUCCACAGAACUUUCCAGAGAUGGAUUGGUGCCUUCGGGAACUGUGAGACAGGUGCUGCAUGGCUGUCGUCAGCUCGUGUUGUGAAAUGUUGGGUUAAGUCCCGCAACGAGCGCAACCCUUAUCCUUUGUUGCCAGCGGUCCGGCCGGGAACUCAAAGGAGACUGCCAGUGAUAAACUGGAGGAAGGUGGGGAUGACGUCAAGUCAUCAUGGCCCUUACGACCAGGGCUACACACGUGCUACAAUGGCAUAUACAAAGAGAAGCGACCUCGCGAGAGCAAGCGGACCUCAUAAAGUAUGUCGUAGUCCGGAUUGGAGUCUGCAACUCGACUCCAUGAAGUCGGAAUCGCUAGUAAUCGUAGAUCAGAAUGCUACGGUGAAUACGUUCCCGGGU
rnacentral:rRNA from 1 species